rnacentral:rRNA from 2 species
AGCCUGAUGCAGCCAUGCCGCGUGUGUGAAGAAGGCCUUCGGGUUGUAAAGCACUUUCAGCGAGGAGGAAAGGUUAACGGUUAAUACCCGUUAGCUGUGACGUUACUCGCAGAAGAAGCACCGGCUAACUUCGUGCCAGCAGCCGCGGUAAUACGAGGGGUGCAAGCGUUAAUCGGAAUUACUGGGCGUAAAGCGUACGCAGGCGGUUUGUUAAGCGAGAUGUGAAAGCCCCGGGCUCAACCUGGGAACUGCAUUUCGAACUGGCAAACUAGAGUCUUGUAGAGGGGGGUAGAAUUUCAGGUGUAGCGGUGAAAUGCGUAGAGAUCUGAAGGAAUACCGGUGGCGAAGGCGGCCCCCUGGACAAAGACUGACGCUCAGGUACGAAAGCGUGGGGAGCAAACAGGAUUAGAUACCCUGGUAGUCCACGCCGUAAACGAUGUCUACUCUUUUUUUGGUGUCUUGAACACUGGGUUCUCAAGCUAACGCAUUAAGUAGACCGCCUGG